UGAGCGGGGCAGCGGGGCCGGAAUGGAGAAGGUGGGACUACCGGGGACCUAGAGAGCGAGCGGCGCCGCCCGUGGGGACUGCGGCUGGAGGUGGGAAGUCGUAGCGAGCUGGACCAGGUGCUCAGGCUGAGGCGGCCGCCCUCCCUUCGCAGGGUGUGCGUGCGCCUAGUGCCAGCUGUGCGGGAUCCGCACAUGCUGACCUUCCUGCAGCAACUGCGGGUGGACUGGCCCGCUGCCUCGGAGAGAGCUUCCUCCCACACCCUGAGGAGCCACGCCCUUGAAGAACUUACCUCUGCUAAUGACGGGAGGACACUGUCCCCUGGCAUCCUAGGCAGACUGUGUCUGAAGGAGCUGGUGGAAGAACAGGGCCGCACAGCUGGCUAUGACCCCAACCUGGACAACUGUCUGGUGACGGAGGAUCUCCUCUCUGUGCUGGCUGAGCUGCAAGAGGCUCUAUGGCAUUGGCCCGAGAACAGCGACCCAGGCCUGGUUAGUGACUCCCAGCCCUGUAGGUUCUCCCAAACCAAGUAUACUGUACUUCCACAGUUAUGAUUGUCCUCCGUUAGGCUGGGGCCCCAGAUACUGGUACAGACGGCUGCCUGGUUGUACAUGUUGUUAGCUGUGAGGAGGAGUUCCAGCAACAGAAGUUGGACCUGCUUUGGCGGAAGUUGGUUGACAAGGCUCCACUCAGACAGAAGCACCUGAUCUGUGGCCCUGUGAAAGUAGCUGGUGCACCUGGCACUCUGAUGACUGCCCCUGAGUACUACAAACCCAGCCUGGACAGAGAUCUUUGGUGUUCUCUCUGUGGCCACCAUCAAGUUUGAGAUGCUGAGCACAGCCCCACGGAGUCAGCUCUUCCUGGCUCUGGCUGACAGCAGUAUCUCCACGAAGGGCACAAAGAGUGGCACCUUUGUCAUGUAUAAUUGUGCCCGUCUUGCCACACUCUUUGAGAGUUACAAGUGUAGUAUGGAACAAGGUCUGUACCCCACUUUUCCUCCUGUGAGCAGUCUGGACUUCUCACUGCUACAUGAUGAGGUGAGUGUCCCUCCCGGUAGUUGGCACAAGGAGGCCUGGACUUCCCCUCCCAGUACCUUUCUCCCCCACAGGGUGAAUGGUUGUUGCUCUUCAACAGUAUCCUCCCCUUUCCGGAUCUGCUAAGCCAGACAGCAGUGCUGGACUGCACAGCCCCGGGGCUCCACAUUGCUGCACGCACAGAGAUGGUGAGGCAUAGACAACCAGGACACUCUACACUCUAUUCUUUAUUCUGGCCUGGGGCACAAGAGCAAAGAGAUGGGCCAGUGACUCAGUCUCUGUCUCUAGAUAUGCAAGUUCCUGGUACAGCUCAGCAUGGAUUUCAGCUCCUACUACAACCGGGUACACAUCCUGGGGGUGAGCACACAGCAAAACGGGGUGGGACGUGCAGAGGGAUACAGGGUAAAGGCAAAGGAAGCAGAGGAUGAGACCAGCAGGCCCUUUCUCUUUCAGGAGGCUCGACCACACCUCUUUGGUCAGAUGUUCGUCCGCCUGCAGCUUCUGAGGGCUGUGCGUGAGGUGCUCCAUACUGGCCUGGCUAUGCUGGGUCUCCCUCCACUGAGCCACAUCUAAGGCCACAGAGGCUCCAAUACUUGGGAAUGUUCACAAAGUCAUCAACUGGAAAAAAAGCAAAAA
rnacentral:sRNA from 1 species